CAGCCGUAAACAAUGUGCGUUAGGUGUGUCGGUAACCACGCGUUACUGAUGCGCCGAAGAGGAAUCGUGAAACGCACCACCUGGGAAGUACGGUCGCAAGGCUGAAACUUAAAGGAAUUGGCGGGGGGAGCACCACAACAGGUGGAGCCUGCGGUUUAAUUGGAUUCAACGCCGGACAUCUCACCGGAUAAGACAGCUGAAUGAUUGUCAAUCUGAAGGUUUUACAUGACUAGCUGAGAGGAGGUGCAUGGCGUCAGUGACU
rnacentral:rRNA from 1 species